rnacentral:rRNA from 1 species
CACGUAGGGCGCAAGCGUUGUCCGGAAUUAUUGGGCGUAAAGAGCUCGUAGGCGGCCGUUCGCGUCGGAUGUGAAAGCUCAGGGCUCAACCCUGAGACGCCAUUCGAUACGGGACGGCUAGAGGUAGGUAGGGGAAAGUGGAAUUCCCGGUGUAGCGGUGAAAUGCGCAGAUAUCGGGAAGAACACCCGUGGCGAAGGCGGCUCUCUGGAACGGUACUGACGCUGAGACGCGAAAGCGUGGGGAGCGAACAGG